GACGAACGCUGGCGGCGUGCUUAACACAUGCAAGUCGAACGAUGAACCCGGAGCUUGCUCCGGUGGAUUAGUGGCGAACGGGUGAGUAACACGUGAGCAAUCUGCCCUUGACUCUGGGAUAACUGCGGGAAACUGUAGCUAAUACCGGAUACGACACCUUGGGGCAUCCCGGGGUGUGGAAAGAAUUUCGGUCAAGGAUGAGCUCGCGGCCUAUCAGCUUGUUGGUGAGGUAAAGGCUCACCAAGGCGACGACGGGUAGCCGGCCUGAGAGGGUGACCGGCCACACUGGAACUGAGACACGGUCCAGACUCCUACGGGAGGCAGCAGUGGGGAAUAUUGCACAAUGGGCGAAAGCCUGAUGCAGCAACGCCGCGUGAGGGAUGACGGCCUUCGGGUUGUAAACCUCUUUUAGCAGGGAAGAAGCGAAAGUGACGGUACCUGCAGAAAAAGCACCGGCUAACUACGUGCCAGCCGCCGCAGUAA
rnacentral:rRNA from 1 species